GUCUUUGUGGUGUAGUGGUCAGCACGCUCGGCGUGUAUUCGAGAGGUCCGUGGUUCGAGUCCUGGCGAGGGCA
rnacentral:tRNA from 1 species